AUGUGAUCGUCUCUCGCAUAUCAAUAAGCGGAGGAAAAGAAACUAACAAGGAUUCCCCUAGUAACGGCGAGUGAAGCGGGAAGAGCUCAAAUUUGAAAUCUUAAAGGGUUUCCCUUUACGAAUUGUAGUUUAAAGAAGUGUUUUCUGCUGAAGGUUUUGGUAAAAGUUCUUUGGAAUAGGACAUCAUAGAGGGUGAGAAUCCCGUAUUUGACCAUUACUUUCAGCUUUGUGAUACACUUUCAAAGAGUCGGAUUGUUUGGGAAUGCAGUCCAAAAUGGGUGGUAAAUUUCAUCUAAAGCUAAAUAUUGGCGAGAGACCGAUAGCGAACAAGUACCGUGAGGGAAAGAUGAAAAGAACUUUGAAAAGAGAGUUAAACAGUACGUGAAAUUGUCAAAAGGGAAGCGUUUGACACCAGUGUUGUUUUUCUGAAAAUCAAUUAAAGAACUGUUUAUGCUAAGUUGUUUAGACUUUAUCAGCUAACUGUUUAGUUUUGAGCUUUUCUUUAAUGCACUUUUCAGUUAACAAGUCAACAUCAAUUUCUUUUGCUGUAAAAAAGCUUGAGGAAGGUGGCUUGAGAUUCGUCUUAAGUGUUUAUAGCCUCUUGCCUAUGCAGUCGGAGAGAUUGAGGUCUGCAGCGUAGAUCCUUCGGGGCUAAAUGCAUUUGUGCUAAGUUGUAGCAUUUUAUAGACAACUUGUUGACUAUGAUUUGUCUUGUAGCUUACUCGCUUAUGUUAUUUUACCUACGCUUAGGAUGUUGACAGCAGUAUAGACUGU
rnacentral:rRNA from 1 species